rnacentral:lncRNA from 1 species
UCUUGUAACUUUGCAAACCUUUACUUGAUUUGAGUUACAAUCACUUACUGGAGAGAUACCACCACAAUUGGGAAAACUUCCUAGCCUAGGAAAAAUUGAACCUCUCCCAUAACAACUUUUUCAAUACCGUACCCAGUUCUUUAGGUGACAUGGUGAGCUUGGUGACCAUUGACCUGUCCUACAAUGAUCUGGAGGGUCCUCUUCCUAAUACCGACGCCUUUCGUUCGUUUUCCUCCACAAUCAUUCGCGAAUAACAAAGAUUUAUGUGGUAAAUCCAAGGAUUGAGGGCAUGUAACACAUCAUCUCCGAAAGUAACAAGCAAAAGAAAGAGAAUUCCUCUCCUGAUAAUUAUUAUCAUAACUUAUCGUUUCCCUUCUUGUUUUUCGUCUCCUUUGUGGUUGUUUUCUUGCACUUGUCACCGAGAUGCGAAAUGAAUGCUCUGGAAUUUGGGUCCAGGAAAGGAAAAAAAUCUCUUUUCAUUUGGAAUUUUAAUGGGAGAAUGAUUUACGAAGACAUAAUCUAUGCCACAAAGAUUUAAGGAUGAAUAUUGCAAUUGGGGUGGGAGGGUCAGCGAGAGUUUAUAAGGCUAUGUUACCGAGUGGACAGGUCGUGGCAGUGAAGCUAACUCUAGAACUGAAAGCAUGGAGUAUGGACAGAACUUUCGAAAAUGAGAUAAGAACUUUGACAGAAACAGGCACGAACAUUGUGAAACUUAUGCCUUUUGUUCUCAUGAAAGGCAACAUUUUUUGGUUAGCGAGUUCAUGGAACAAAGGGAGCUUGGCAAGUGUUCUAAUUGUCGAUAAAGAAGCACGGAGUUAGAUUGGUUGAAGAGGGUGGAAUAUUAUUCAAGGUGUUGGCUAAAUGCAUUGUAUUACCUGCAUCUAGUUGCACGCAGUUUUUUUUUUUUUUUUCUCCAAUAAUUUCACCGCACAUAUCGAGCAGAAUGUUUUGUUGAACUCAGAAUUGGAGGCCUCCCAUGUCUCAGAUUUUGGCACUGCUAGUUUUUUGAAGCGUGAAGCCUCAAUUUGGCUGCAGUUGCGGCACAUAUGAUACAUCGCGCAGGUGGACAUUUUAUUAGAUUUAUAUGUUUUUAGUUUCAUUUAAUUUAUCGAAACGAGAAAAAUAUCCUUUUAAUUUUAAUAGAAUUUGUGGACAAUAGACAGCUCAAAAGAGUUUUCACGAAUAAUUUUUAAAACUAGUUUGUCAAAGAAUGUAGUGCUAUGGAUAAUUAGUUAAUAGAGUUACACAUUGUUGUCUAUGAGUCUCGGGGCUUUAUUUCAAGCUUAAUUUGAAAUUUUAAUGAGUUUAAAAACUUGUUCAACCUAGUUGGGAUAUUAGUCAAUUCAAUUUGGAAACAAUCUCCUAAUAAGUCAAUUUGAGUAAAUCACAGGUUAUAGGUUGGGUUGUUUUAAUUUUAUCUAGGAUAGCUUGUAGACUAAGCUGAGAAGAGCUACGAGAAAACUGACUAUUCCAACAUAUAUUCAGCAUUGGUUGUUUAGGUAAUAGGUGAUUGCAAUUGGAUUUUAAUUAACGAGCUAAACACAAAUGAACUUGACUAUUUUGUUCAUUUUACACCCAAUGCUUGCACCUUCUUUGAAGAUCCAUUUCGUCAGUGCAGAAUUGGCAAUUUGAAUUUUAGCCUCGAGUUAAUGUUUUUUCCUUAUUUUUUUCAUUCCUUUUGCUCUCAGAUUGUCGUAUACAAUUGCGGUGACAGAAAAAAUUCGAUGUGUAGCUUUGGGGUCAUUGACACUUGAGUUUUGAAGGAAUGGGCCUCAUCCAGGGGAGCCUUAUUUCCACCCCUAACUCUUAGUGGAUCAAUGCAUUCAACUUGAAGAUGUGUUUAGAUCCUCGCCUCUCUCCUCCUACCAAAAAGAUUGGCACAUGAACUCACCCCCAUUGUCAAUCUUGCAAUAUGGUGCUUGCGUGCUGAUCCACGUUCUAGGCCUUCCAAGAGCUGCCUUAAACUCAAGGCUUGAAAUCAAGGCUGGUUAUGACUAGAGAAAUAUAGCGUGUAUGAGAAUGUAACUAUGUAUGUAUUUGAAUAUCUAAGAAUCACAGCACCAAAAGAAAAAUGUGUAACUAUGCUAUUAAUGGGAUGUUGGUGUUAUUCAAUCCUUUGAUUGUGUGAUUUUAUUCAAUCUCCACCUAUAAAUAGAUAUGUAUUUUAUAUAUUAGACAUAUGAUGUAAUAAAAUGUGAUUAUCAACGAGAAAAAGAGUCCUUAUGGAAUUUGUGCUCAUAGGUAAAUGUUGAAAUAAAGGUUUAUUUGAGUUUUUAUGAUGAUUACAAAUGUUAAUAAUAAGUCAAGUCUAAAACCAUGGUUGAAAAUCACAUUAAAUAACUUAGAUAUACAAGGACCAAAUCAGUUAGUUCAUUUCCACAAAGACAAACAACAGUGGUCUAAAACAAUCUUACAUGUGAGAAAAGAAAGAUGUUGAGCUCUUUACAAGUCACAUUCAACGUCAUUGUGCAUACAAAAGAGGUAGAAAAGAUAAACCAACUCUCAAACUCAAAAUGGAUAGUUAACGGACUUAACUGAUAAAAUGACAUAAUACAAACUGCUAUUGUCACAAGUUCGAUCGACCGAACUUCAUCAAGUCAUCUCUUAAUAGAUAUGAUCAUUGAAAGCAUAGUUUAAAUACGACUGAAGUUCACAUUUGGUCGACCGAAGUUGAAAGAUGCACAACCGAAGUUGAAAUAGUGAACAAGGAUUCUCAUUGGAAUAACAGUUAAGACACGACCGAAGUUUACAUUUGGUCGAUCGAAGUGUCGACCAAAGUAUGUAAAUCCAAAAUAGAGCAACAUAAGUGAUCUCUGGAAUUGAAGAACAGUGUCGACUGAAUUUCAAGUUCGGUCGAGCGAAAGUGGAAAAGCCCUCGAUCGAAGUUUUAAAUUCCUCAGCAAACAAAGUAUGCAAGCCAUUGGAAUUUCUCUCAUCUCCUUUACAUUACUUAUAUACUUGCUAUUACUAGGAAUGCACUGUUUGUAUAAGUUUUAAAUAAGAAAUUUUAAUUGGCUAUUAAUCCUAAGCAAACCCACUUCACCACCUCAUAAUGUAUUUUGAGUUUUUAAUAAACGAACUUUGAUAUUUGAAGAAUUCAUUCAUAUAGUAUUUGAUGAAUUUAAUGAUCUAUUCUUCAAAAUUGCUUCAAGGAAUGCAGGAAUCGAAGAAAGCAUGGAAAAUUAAAAUUACUCAAGAAAAUUAAGAGAUUUAAGUAGAAGCCAGUGAGGACAUACAACUAGAAGUUGUCCUACCUCAGCUAGAAAAUCAAAAACAAGAUGGUGAAAGUUUAAAUCUUCCAAAAGAAUAGAGAUUCGUUCACAACCAUCCAACAACUCUCAUUAUUGGCAAUCCAUCAAGAGAGAUAACUACUAAAAACUCUAUAAGAAAUAUUUAUAAAAAUCUUGCAUUCUUAUCACUAAUAGAACCUAAAAUUUUUCAUAAAGCCGAAUUUGAUGAAUAUUGGCUUUUACCAAUGCAAGAAGAACUUAAUUAAUUUAAAAUAAAUAAACUUUGGAUACUAGUACCUGGACCAAUCAAUCACCCCAUAAUAGGUACUAAAUGAGAGUUUAGAAACAAACUAGAUGAAUCUGGGAUCAUUGUUAGAAAUAAAGUUAGACUCAUAGUGUAAGGUUCCAAUUUGUUUUUUAAAUACAUGACGUAAUUAGGGCACACAUGUGAUGUCAUCACACUACAAGUAUACACACACACACACACACACACACAUAUAUAUAUAUAUUUAUUUAUAUAUGUGUCUUUAUAUAAGUAUAUUUAUAUUAGAAGAUAAAGUUGAAUUGUUUUAUUUGGGCUUGUAAGUGGAGCGUGAGGAGCGUGUAAAUGGCUUAACCACAGAUGGAUUUUGAUUUUGAUUUAUUGAUGGGAUAAACUAAGCCCAAGGGCCUAAGGAGGGCAUUUGUGUUAUUUCAUUUUCGUGACCUAACGUAAAUAAUCUUCCCAAUAUUUGUGUUUAGAUUGUUUAUUUUUUUCUCUUCUUCUUCCUCUUCUUUCUUUCCUUCUCUCUUUCUAGAGUUGUGAGCAUUUGAGCUUAGAAUCUAGGUUAUGAGGUGUGAUUUGAGUGGUGAUCAUUUGGAGAAACAUCUACUACUUCGACGGAGCUUUAUUUUGACACUAGAAGAUUUGAGAUUGGAGGAAUUCAGAAUUUGGCAUCACUAUUAAUUGUAGAUCUUUUUUGUUGCUUGGAUUUGAGGUAAAAGGUUUUUUUUUUGUGGGGGUUUUAAUCUUAGAUUUAUUGUUAUAGGCUUGAAUAAAGUCCUAUUGCUGAUUUUGAGUAUUGAACUUGAAAUGAAAACUGGUUUGUUAUGGAAAUUGUAGGUUUAUUGUUGGAAUUUUUCAUUGGAUUAUUAUAAAUGGCUUAUAUAAGCCUAUAUUUUAUAAGAUUUUUAUUUUUAGUGUUUAAACUAUAAAUGAAAGAUUUGGUUAUAUAAAAAAAGUUGGAUUCCGUAGAUCAAGUGUCGACACGUGUUGUUUUCAAGUGUCAACACCUGACGAAGAAGAAAGAAAAUUUGACUAUUGGUCCCAGGUAUCGACAUUUGAAACUAGUGUCGAUACUUUUGAAUAGUAAACUUAAAAUUUUGACUUCAACCUAAGGGUUGUCGACACUUUUGAAUAGUAAUAAACAAUUGGAGUUUUUCCUAGUUUUACCUUGAGUAUGAUGAUAUUUUGUAUAAUAUAUUGUUGCAUUGAAAUUUUUGAUAAUACAUGUGCGUUGCGGGAUUUGAAUAAUGUGAUUUGGGGGGGGGGGUACUUAAAAUUGGUGACAUUUUAUAUGAUUGAGUAUGAUAAUUGUUUCAGAACAAAAUAUGAGAAUGAUUUCAAUAAUAACUUAUUAUUAUUGACGAUUUUAAAUGCUUGUAGAGUAUGUUGUUGCAUUUAAAGUUUGAUAUAUAACAUGAACGUAUGAUUGAACUUGUGAAAAAUAUAAAACUUAUAGGUGCAUGGAGAUUUAAAAAUAGUUUGGGAAUGAUACGUUAGGAUGUAUCAAAAAUUAGAUGACAACGAUACAGAGGAAAUGUCAUAGCUCACGAUGAAAGCCCAGGAAGUUGACAAAAUAAAAGUUCUAGAUCGCAACGAUACAGAGGGAAUGUCAUAGUGAAAGCCCGAACAGUUGAUAAAAUAAAAGUCCUAGAUGUCAACAAUACGGAGGGAAUGUCAUAACCCACGAUGAAAGCCCGCGAAGUUAACGAAUGUUAUCUCAUGUACUUAGUGCAUAAUGAGGUUGGUUAUAUAUUAACCUAAGAAUUGAAUUGAAUUUUUGAGAAGACUCGGGAACACGGGAAAAAUGUUGGAUGUGAAAAAUCAUGGAUUUGAAUCAAAAGUAUAUUUUGAUAUGAAUGAAAAUAUAUUUUGUUGCUCAUAUUUUCAUUGUAGAGCUAUAUAUCACAGUUUUUGGGCUUGAGACAUAAGUACCUACUAAUUGUUAAAUCCCUUUUCAAGCAGUGGUUAACUCACCUUACUAUACAAUAAAUUUUAGAUACCGAGGGUUAUCUUGAGUCGUAAAGCAUUUGGAUUGUUCGUAUAUUGUUAUUUUAUUUGUGCAUAUAUAACAUGUAUUUUUGGGAAUUGUAAUUAUUCUUAUUGGCCCGAGUGUGGCAUUGUCCAUUAAAAUAUCACUUCUCGUUUGUAGUUGAUAGUUUAUGGAGAGCUGGUCCUACGUGUUAGGGAUAGAGGUCCCAUACUCUGAUGUGUAAAACUAGUGUAUUGCCAGACUGUUUCUUUAGGUUUGACUUUUCAUACAUAUUGAGUUAAUUUGCUUAUGUGGUCGAUCUAGGCUGUGACCGGCGGCAUACCUAUAGCACGAGGGGUAUCGUCACAAGGAAUGAAUAUAUUUGAUAAUUCAUUUCACGAUCCUCCCCGAUCGCUAAAUAAAUUACGGAUAAUAUUGAAUGGCUACUAGAUUGCAUCUGCUGCUAUAUGAACUUCAUAACGUAUAACCUGUAAAUUGGUCUAUAAAUAUGUCUGUGUGGUUUUGGGGAAUGUAUCCAUUACCUUGCGGAAGGUGUAUCUGUUUGCACCAACUUCCAGGCUUUUUGACGAAUCAGGAAUUUCCGAACCACGUAUAUAGCUUUUUAAAGCCUCUAUGAAUUAAAGAAAACUCCAAGGCUUGGUGUGAAAGACUAAGUGAGUUUUUUAAUGAAAUGAUUUUAUUCAAGAAAAAACAAAGUAAAGCCUUAUUCUUACAAAUUAAAAAUAAAGGACAUACUUAUUGGGCAAAUAAUGUAGAUGACAUUAUAUUUGGUGCUACUAUGAUAUUAUGUGCAAGAUUUUACAUAGUGUGCGCGAGUUCAACUUCUUUCCUUAACUACAAAAUCAAGCAUCAAGUGGAUAAAUUAUACAAACCAACCAAAAUAUAAUAAAUGAUUGAUCAAAUGUUUCAACCAUCAGCAUAUGAGAGCAUUAGCUACCCCCGAUUAGCACAUCUAUAACUGACAAGACACAACGCUAAAAACUGAGAUGAAAAACUCUAUUGAGGUAUCAUUGGAUCUCUACUUAUUUAACUGAAGUAGACCCGAUAUCCAUGCUUAGUGUAAUGCAUAUGUGCUAGAUUUCAAUCAUGGCCCUAAAGGAAUCACAUCUAUUGGCCAUCAAUCUAUUUAAAUAUGUUAUAGAUAUGCAAAAGCUAGUAUAUUUUAUCUAAGAGGAUUUGCCUUUGAUUUGAAGGAUAAUCAGGACAGACUAUGGCGGUAUGCAAAAGUAGAACAAAAAAGCACAAAUGGGACUUUUUAAUUUCUAGGACAAUCCCUAAUUUCUUAUAUUAGCAAGAAACAAAAUUCCAUCAAACUAUUAACCGCCAUGCUGAUAGUGGCCGCCAAAAGUUGUUGUGCUCAAUUCUUGUAGAUAAAAACAAAUAAAUGGGGGAAUAUAAUUUAUAUUUUGAUUAUAUUUCAAUCAAUUGUGAUGAUACAAGUGCUAUAAUGUUGUCUAAGAAUCCCAUAUAACAUUCUAGAACAAAGCACAAUGAGAUUCGAUAUCAUUUUCUAAGAGAUCACAUCCAAAAAAGGAAUAUUGAACUUAUAUAUAUGCACACCGAUAAGCAAUAGGCAGAUAUUUUUAUAAAAUCACUUGAUAAGAAAGAUUUUAUUUCAUGAGACGUGAACUUAAUAUGUCUCAACCAAUGUGAAUAUAUUUUGAUUUCUUAAUUAAAUUCAUAAUACUUGAGUUAGUAGGAAUUGAGAAAGAAUAGUUUAAAUCAAAAUUUAUUCUAUAUGAAUAAAUGUUAUAUUUGAUCUAAUAUAAGUUUAUUGAUCGACAAAAAUGUGCAUAGAAGUCUCAAAUUUUGAGAUACAUGAAAUUGAUUCAUAGAAUUAUAUUUUAUAGUUGUUUUAUGUAAGUGUGACUUGUGUGAAGAAAAAAAAUGAGCAGUAAGAUCAAACUUAAGUCAAAAUUCCUUACUGUCAAAUUUUGCAGAUAUAGUAGGAACUUCAUUUGAUCGAACUUGAAGUUUGGUUGAUCGAAGUUGCUAAAUUAAAAGGUCAUGUAUACAUUAAAAAGAACAUUAAUUGAGUCCUAGAAACCCUAUUUCUCUUAAAUACUAAUAUCUUAUAAACACUUAUCUAUUACUCUCUCUCUUUACCUCACUAAAGAAAACACAACCCAUACAAUUCUCUCAAAAUGUUUCAUCAAAUUAGUGUUCUUCAACUUCCAAUUUUCCUGAUUCACUCAACCUCUUGGAAGUUCGAUCGACAAAUCGCAAAAAUAUUGUUGACCGAAUUCACAACUUUGAUCUACUGAAGUAGCAGAAACUACGGGAUAAGAGGGAGGGAUAGAGUUUCAAAUGUUUUCAAGCUUCAAUUUCUUACCCUUUUUAGCUUCUAUCAGAUUCCUCGAGGACAUCUAUCUCUUUUAUCUCAUUAUAAAUAAACCCUAUACCUAUUCCUUAUCAUCAUAUCAAAAUCUCUCAAACCCUAGAUCAAAAGUCUAUGAUUUUUCAGACCAUGAUGCAUCCGAGAACCAAGCACGCAUCGAACGAUCCAAGAGGUGAGGAUACCAAUCCUAAACCUGAAAUGGAGUUCAACCCACAACUAUUCAAGAACAGGAAAAUCCAAAAGACAUGGCUAUCCGAGUUCAAAGAAAGGCCAAUCAUCACGGGAAGGAAAUUUAAGAAAAAUUUCCCACUCAAGUACUACAAGAAAAUGUUGGUGCCAUUGGAACCUCUUGAUUGGAAUGGAUGGCAUCCUCUUCCAACGGACAUGUACUCAAACUUGGUAAGGGUUUUCUACUGCAACUGAGAAGUAGGAAACCUAGAUAAUAUUGUGUACACAAUUGACUCAAAUGUUAGAGGGAAAUAUAUAGUCCUCAAUCCCACGAUCUUAUCUGAGAUCACAGGGAUUGUUAAUGCUAGGGACUACAUCUUUUUCAACAAGUCAAGCCAACUUGAUCAAUAUGUGAGUUAAAAACAUAUGAAUAAAAUGAUCUCCAUAAAUGGAAUAUUAGAAGCCACACAAACCAAGGAUAUGAUAAAGGAAUUCAGACUAUUCCAUACAUCACUUACAAUAUAAUUUCUAAGAAGAGAUAUUAUAAUCAAGUGACAACUACGAUAGAAGAGCCUCAUAAUCUAAACUAUAUAAUUCUAAAUGAGAUUGCUAAUGUGAGAAACCAUAGUAGUCGAGCCCUACAUUUUGGUGCUCUCUUGACUAAAAUUUUCAAACACUUUAGAGUCAAGUUUAACAACCAAAUCAAUCAAUAUAUAGGUGGACGUUUUCCUAAACAAAUGAUAAAAAGAGAGACAAGUGUGUUCUCCUCCGAUAAGGAAGAAGAAGAAAGAAGUCACAGUGAUAUGGAGGUUGCAGGAAACUUUGAGGAUCUUCCCCCACAAACCGAGGAAACUUAUGAGGAACUAAGCACUCAAGUGUUCCAACUCCAAAUACAAGAAAAGGAAACGAUGCAGUGGGAGAAUCUUAUGCAAGAAAGGCUUUCAUCGCAAUACGUGCAUUCGACAUGAUUCUUGGAGUACUUUGGAAAGCUCAAUGCCAUAAUGAAACGCGUGGAGCAGCGCCAAGAGAAGUAAGUAGAAUAUUUUGAGCAAAUAGAGUAACGCCAAGAGAAGAAGGAAAGAUACAUUGAGAGGCUCGGUGACUUGUACGAGAACUUGUAUGAGCAGCAAAUCAACUUCAAUAAGCAAUACAACGAUAGGAUGACCAACAUGGAAACUCAGCUUUAGUAUCUCUAGUUCACAACUCAUCCUCCAGCUGAUUUUCCUCUUCCUCCUCCUCCUACACCAUUCGAUGCCCCUAGCUCUUCAUACCGGCCUUCUUGACCUGGACCUAUUGAUGAUUCCCUGAAGGGGGAGAAGAUUUUAGUUUUUUGAUUUAAUUUUUUUAAACAAAUUUCUGAUCAUUUAAAAUUUUUGUUUUAAAAGAAUGUGGUUUGUUUUUUAAUCUAUCUUAGUGUUUGAUAUGCUCCUUUUACAUGCCAUGUUGCUGUGAGUGUGGAUACAUAUGCCAUGUUGCCAUUCUUCUUAAUAUGCUUACUAAGUAUCCCUUGAUUCUAUGUUUAUAUAAUAAGCUUAAAAUAUUAAAACAUAAGAACAAGUUAAACAAGCACAAAGAUAGGGGAUGUUUGAAUAAAGGGGAGCAUGUAAAUUUUAAAACAAGAAUAUGAUUUUCAAAAAUAGUUGUGUCAUCAUAAAAAAUGGGGAGCUUGUUGAAAUAAAGGUUUAUUUGAGUUUUGAUGAUUACAAAUGUUUAACAAUAAGUCAAGUCUAAAAAUCACAUUAAACAACUUAGAAAUACAAGGACCAAAAAUAGUGGUCUUGAAAACAAUCCUACAUAUGAAUAAAAAAAGAUGUUAAGCUCUUUACAAGUCACGUUAAAUAUCAUUGUGCAUAUAAAAGAGGUAGAAAAGAUAAACCAACUCUUAAACUCAAAAUGGAUAGUUAACAAACUUAACUGAUAAAAAGACAAAACACAAAUUGCUACUGUCACAAGUUCGGACCGAACUUGUAUACCGAAGGUUAAAUGAAGCACAAUUGAACUUCAUCAAG